rnacentral:rRNA from 1 species
AUCCUGGCUUAGGACGAACGCUGGCGGCGUGCCUAAUACAUGCAAGUCGAACGGUCUUUCUAUGGAAGCUUGCUUCACUGAGAAGAUAGUGGCGAACGGGUGAGUAACACGUGGGUAACCUGCCCAUAAGAGGGGGAUAACAUCCGGAAACGGGUGCUAAUACCGCAUAGUUUUCUUGAUCGCAUGAUCGGGAAAGGAAAGACGGCCUUUGUGCUGUCGCUUAUGGAUGGACCCGCGGCGUAUUAGUUAGUUGGUGAGGUAACGGCUCACCAAGACGAUGAUACGUAGCCGACCUGAGAGGGUGAUCGGCCACAUUGGGACUGAGACACGGCCCAAACUCCUACGGGAGGCAGCAGUAGGGAAUCUUCCGCAGUGGACGAAAGUCUGACGGAGCAACGCCGCGUGAGUGAAGAAAAGGGUUUUCGGAUCGUAAAACUCUGCUGUCAGAGAAGAACAAGUUGGAGAGUAACUGCUCCAGCCUUGACGGUAUCUGACCAGAAAGCCACGGCUAACUACGUGCCAGCCGCCGC